UUUUAUGAGAGUUUGAUCCUGGCUCAGGACGAACGCUGGCGGCGUGCCUAAUACAUGCAAGUCGAACGCUUCUUUUUCCACCGGAGCUUGCUCCACCGGAAAAAGAGGAGUGGCGAACGGGUGAGUAACACGUGGGUAACCUGCCCAUCAGAAGGGGAUAACACUUGGAAACAGGUGCUAAUACCGUAUAACAAUCAAAACCGCAUGGUUUUGAUUUGAAAGGCGCUUUCGGGUGUCGCUGAUGGAUGGACCCGCGGUGCAUUAGCUAGUUGGUGAGGUAACGGCUCACCAAGGCCACGAUGCAUAGC
rnacentral:rRNA from 1 species